GACGUGUAGUUAAAGAAUAAGACGAUUGUGGUGGUGAGCGGGGGUGUUGGUGCUAAGGAAAGCUGGUUGGGUGUGGACGGAGGAGGAGGCCACGUGGGGUGGAGGUAAACGGUGCUAAGGGGAGGGGUCUAGGUGGAAGACGGGGCGGCCGCAGCGGGAGGGGGCUAGGUGGAAGAAAGGGCCGGCCGCGGCGGGAGGGGGCUAGGUGGAAGAAGGGGGCGGCCGCGGCGGGAGGGUGUUAGGUGGAUGAAGGUGGCGGCCACGGCGAGGUGGGCAUAGGCCGAAGAAGGGGGCGACCGCGGCGUCAACCGGCGUGGGGAGCCUCACUGGACGAGCACGGCGGGGCGGCGGGGAUUGAAGGGGACGAGCUAGAGCGUAGAAGAAUUCUCAUGUCAAGCCGAGGGCCGCCCGACUACAACGGGCCGUCGUGGCGGCACGUCAUGCGCGUAGCGUCGGUACGCCAAACAACCGCUGAGACCUGCCCUCUACGACGCAUGCACGCUCCAAGUCUUCCGGGACCGCACGUUGAGUCUACCCAACACACGCGCCAAGUCUACCCGGUCUUCGGAGCACGGAGGCCAGCGGGGAUGGAUGGGGUCACGCUCGGGCCGCCGGAAGGAGGUGGCGACCCAGGAGCCCAGACCACGUCGGAUGGGUGGCAGCUCCUCGGGGGGUGGGGAAGGAGGGGCGCUCGGGGUACUAUAGGCAUCGCGGCUGCCCGCAGCCUAGGGACGUGGUUGGCGGACCUAGGUCGGGUGUGGGGCGGCGGUACAGCGCGGCAGCUCUGAAGGGUCCAUGUGGCGCUGCGGAGUGGGUUUUUGUCUACUUGACGUCCUGUGGUGGGUGCUUCGGAGGCGUCCUCGUGAUCACUCGACGAGGUGUAAAUCACUAACUGUCUGCAACCCCUUAUACGAGGCGGCCCGUAGGCGGCUAUUCUAGGGUAGCCACUCAGCGGGUAAGUGGGAGAAGAGGACUACACCCACGUCGUGGUCCACUCGCGGGAACGUCAAACUACGUCGUGGUCCACUCGCAGGACUCGAGCAAGAACUUCGGGCACCUUCUCCACGUCUAAGAACGACUGGCGAGCUAACCGGAGGUAGAAGACAAUGAUAGGGAGAAUGUUCGGUCCACCUUCUUAUAAAGUCAAUACACAUACCGCGACUACCGUACUCUUAGUCGUUUAAACGUGGUCUCGGGCUUCUACUAAACCCUCAAGAGAAGACAGCCACGAUGUCACACUACGACCCUUCCGCGUUUUCUGUCACGUCAAUCCACACACCAGAGCCCGCACCUGCACGUCGAGCUGUUGGUACCUGUACGUCGAGCCUGCGCACGCACGUCGCCAAGUCACGAGCACAUGAACAUCCGAAACCACAAAAACGCACACCCACGUCAAGCAGUAGCGCCGCACACCACACGUCGACGUCAAGCACGUUCAGGAGAUGUGGGAACGCGAGCACGUCCAUGCCGAACAGCAGUUGCGGAUGUAGUGAAGGGGAGUAAAAACUUCGGUUCCCUACGAGCCCGCGGUACCUGUCUCGCCAUCAAAGGGGAGAAGAGGUUGAGGUUACUGAGGAGAUCCAGGAGAGGUAGCACGGGCAGUACAUCGUCACGUGAGGUCCUCCUUUUGUACCGCAUCCUCCCGACGUCCUCUACCCACCGAUGUGGACUCCGAUCUUUGAUGUUACCGGCGCGGCGCCAGGUGUACGCGGAACCGGCGACCUGUAUUUUACGUAUACACAAGUAUCGAACGCACAUCAAGGGUUCGCUGCGUAGACAUCAAAUGAGUUCUUUGUUUUUUACGUCUUCUUUUCUUUUGUUUCUUCAAGUAAAAACAAGAAAGAAAACUCAACCGUAAGUAAAAGGAUCCGUUUGCGAUUCUAAGGUCACGUCACGUGGAACACACUAAGGUAACGUUACGUGAAAGUACUAAAAAAUAAUGUUUACUAGUGUAGAGCAACACACGAGAAUAGUAAAAAAAAUUCUUUUACAACACACUAGAUAGUCGUCGCGCGUCGAGUGCUGUGUCCAUAAACGUUAAGAGGUGGGACAACGUACGCCAAAUGUAGAACGCUCUGUCAACUUAUACUGUUUUUUUUACAGUACGGCAAAUGAAGAUAAACACAGCGUCAAGUGAAAGGAGGGUUACACAAAGCUUUCGUCGAUAAACGUAGUCUUGGAUUUUCACACGAACCAGAAUACCUGAGGAGACAACAUGUGAACCAUUUAUGUUUUAUU
rnacentral:rRNA from 1 species